rnacentral:rRNA from 1 species
GGCGAGCGGCGGACGGGUGAGGAAUGCAUCGGAAUCUGCCUUUUUGUGGGGGAUAACGUAGGGAAACUUACGCUAAUACCGCAUACGUCCUACGGGAGAAAGUGGGGGACCGCAAGGCCUCACGCAGAAAGAUGAGCCGAUGCCGGAUUAGCUAGUUGGCGGGGUAAAGGCCCACCAAGGCGACGAUCCGUAGCUGGUCUGAGAGGAUGAUCAGCCACACUGGAACUGAGACACGGUCCAGACUCCUACGGGAGGCAGCAGUGGGGAAUAUUGGACAAUGGGCGCAAGCCUGAUCCAGCCAUGCCGCGUGAGUGAAGAAGGCCUUCGGGCUGUAAAGCUCUUUUGUUGGGGAAGAAAUCCUGUCGGUUAAUACCCGGCGGGGCUGACGGUACCCAAAGUAUAAGCACCGGCUAACUUCGUGCCAGCAGCCGCGGUAAUACGAAGGGUGCAAGCGUUACUCGGAAUUACUGGGCGUAAAGCGUGCGUAGGUGGUUCGUUAAGUCUGAUGUGAAAGUCCUGGGCUCAACCUGGGAACUGCAUUGGAUACUGGCGAUCUGGAGUGCGGUAGAGGGUAGCGGAAUUCCCGGUGUAGCAGUGAAAUGCGUAGAUAUCGGGAGGAACAUCCGUGGCGAAGUCGGCUACCUGGACCAGCACUGACACUGAGGCACGAAAGCGUGGGGAGCAAACAGGAU